UACGGAGGGUGCAAGCGUUAUCCGGAUUCACUGGGUUUAAAGGGUGCGUAGGCGGGCAGGUAAGUCAGUGGUGAAAUCCUUGAGCUUAACUCGAGAACUGCCAUUGAUACUAUCUGUCUUGAAUAUUGUGGAGGUAAGCGGAAUAUGUCAUGUAGCGGUGAAAUGCUUAGAUAUGACAUAGAACACCUAUUGCGAAGGCAGCUUACUACGGCAUAUAUUGACGCUGAGGCACGAAAGCGUGGGGAUCAAACAGG
rnacentral:rRNA from 1 species